GACGAACGCUGGCGGCGUGCUUAACACAUGCAAGUCGAACGGUAAGGCCCUUCGGGGUACACGAGUGGCGAACGGGUGAGUAACACGUGGGUGAUCUGCCCUGCACUUCGGGAUAAGCCUGGGAAACUGGGUCUAAUACCGGCUAGGACUCCUGGCUUCAUGGUUGGGGGUGGAAAGCUUUUGCGGUGUGGGAUGGGCCCGCGGCCUAUCAGCUUGUUGGUGGGGUAAUGGCCUACCAAGGCGACGACGGGUAGCCGGCCUGAGAGGGUGACCGGUCACAUUGGGACUGAGAUACGGCCCAGACUCCUACGGGAGGCAGCAGUGGGGAAUAUUGCACAAUGGGCGCAAGCCUGAUGCAGCGACGCCGCGUGAGGGAUGACGGCCUUCGGGUUGUAAACCUCUUUCAGCUAUGACGAAGCGCAAGUGACGGUAGUAGCAGAAGAAGGACCGGCCAACUACGUGCCAGCCGCCGCUGUAA
rnacentral:rRNA from 1 species